UACGUAGGGUGCGAGCGUUGUCCGGAAUUAUUGGGCGUAAAGGGCUCGUAGGCGGUUUGUCGCGUCGGGAGUGAAAACCUCGGGCUUAACUCGGGGCUUCUUUCGAUACGGGCAGACUAGAGGUAUGCAGGGGAGAACGGAAUUCCUGGUGUAGCGGUGAAAUGCGUAGAUAUCUGGAGGAACACCGGUGGCGAAGGCGGCAUCCUGGACCGGUAUUGACACUGAGGAGCGAAAGCCAGGGGAGCAAACGGG
rnacentral:rRNA from 1 species